AUUUUGUGAUGGGGGCAGCUACCACAUAGUCUCUUAAACCUCUCUCAGUAGUCAUAAAGAGUUUCGCCAUUUUCUUGGCAAACCCCACAGAUUUCUUUUCUUAUACU